UGACGAACUAGGAACAGGAAAAAAAAAUGAGCACACUGCGCAUGUAAACGAAAUACGAAAGAGAAGCGUUAAUUGGCAACGGCAAUCGGAUUUAUACAAUGGUCUCUAUGGCACACCUGGAAGUACCAUUACGAAGAUAUGGAAACCACAAAAGAUUCUGGAUCUAACGCAGCAGGAACCAGCAUGCCCAACUAUGCGAUAAUCAUCCUUGCCAUAAUCAGUGCUUUGCAGCCAUUCUUUUUAGAAUCUUCUAUGUCAUUUGAAUCAAAAUUCACGUUCUUGCGUAGAGAAAAAAUAUAGAAUUACCAACAAAAACAAAGCUGAUAAAUAUGUACAGGUGUUGCAAAUGAAGUUUAAUUACCAAUAGACACCGGCCAUGGCUUCAAUCUCAUAAGGAACAUUUAAACAAGUUGUCAUUUUGAUUUUCACUUUUCUCCAUGCAUACAACACUGUAUCACACAUCCUAGAAGAAAGAUCAACCUCCACGCUGUUUCUAUUUACUCAUUUCAUUAUCAGUUCGUGUACUUCCUAUGAUAUGUUAUCUUCUCUUACUUGUCAUGCUUGAAGAAUAAAAUCAAUUGCAGUCCU